UUUAUGGAGAGUUUGAUCCUGGCUCAGGAUGAACGCUGGCGGCGUGCCUAAUACAUGCAAGUCGAGCGAAU
rnacentral:rRNA from 1 species